AUGGAGAACCCAGGUCCUCCCCUUCCCGGUCCUCUGUGGAUCCGGUUCUCAUCCUCGGCGGCUGUUGCUCUCCAGCCUACCGGUCUCCCCGGGUCACACGGAGACCUGAGUCCCGAGUCCCGCCGUGUGCCCCCAGUCCGCUUCUCUGAUGGACGCUGGGACAGAGGGCAGCCGGGCCCCCUGCACCUCCCCACCGGUUCUGGAUCCACGCGCGAUACACCACUGUGGCGACCACCGGACCCUCCGGGCUCUGCGCCCCCGGGGCUGCGCGCUCCCGAGGCAGAGCUGGGAAGCUCCCCGCGUCCUCCGCGCCCACCGCCUCAGCCGAUUCCAGGGAAGGGGACUCACCUCCGGGACAAGAUUGCAUCUCCCAGUGGAGACUGUUUGCUGCAGUCACACCUGCCUGAUCAGAUCGACCCUGUGCUGUCACCGCUGGCCCUGUUAUUACACCACCUACAUGUGCUCAGAGCUCUGUCUUCAUGCUCCAUUUCUCAAUGGGGAGGAAGUUAAUUUGCACCAAGUGUCUGCUCACAAGCAAGAAAGCCUGCAGGGCUGAGAAAGGCAUUGUGUGAUGCCUCUUCAGCUGCCAUUCCACCACCAAAAACACGGGAAAGGGAUGUCUUUCAGAAACCUUAAAACCAGCACAUUAAAGCCCCAGAAAAAUGCAUGGAUGAAGAAGCUGUGUUCCUGUGAUAGAGAAGAAUUUUCAGUACAGAAGAAAGAAAAUAGCAAAUAAAUAAAAAUAGAAGCCUGGCUUUUAGAAGCACAGAGAUGAAAAGAACAAGGUCUCAGAAGCUCUUUGUGUGCAUCUCUGCCUGUGGCUGGCCAGCUCUUCAGGCCUGGAUUAAAGGUGAAAUAGACAGAGAUGAAAGAAGUGUGGGGCCACUUCAGAGCCAGACACAUGGGAGCAAGGCAGGUGGAAAAGUCCACAGGAUGCCAGGUUGUGGGGCUGGGGACAAUGAGGGACAAAGGUCUUUGCAGCAGUGCUGCCACCUGGCCCUGGGGAAGCCUCAGUUUCCAAGCAAGUUGGGGGCCAGGGACACCAUGUCUUGGUCUGACAUUUGGGUACAUUUUGUUUUAAUUCAGAAAUGGAAAUCAAUCAAAAGCGGUGUGAGCUGAGAGAUGAGUGCAGGAGAGGUUCCCCAUGGCCUGUCCCAGGAGAAUCAGGAUUCUCACACACACCAAGGAAGAGGGCUUGGGGAAGGGUGGCAGGUCUGCCUAACCUCACAACUCAUCGGCCAUGCAUGAAAAGCCAGAAUGACUGGGCCGAUACUUUUAAAACAAAGAAAAAGCCAUCUUUGUAGACAUCCUGAACUGAGAAGUAUGCCUCGUACUUGUGGGUAGAUGCCAGGCACAAACAUGUUCUCGGAACCCAGGGACUCAGGUCAUGACAGAGGCUCAUUUCCAGCUGGCGCUGCUGUCGGGCCUCCAUGUGCAGGUGUUUGUUUUAUUUACUGAUGAAUCUCUGGCACCUGGGGCAGCCCCUUCCCACCACAGGGACCUGAUAAUAUGUGACCACUGGGGCCCUGGAUAAAUGCACUCCCAGGUAAUGAAGACAGUCACAGGGCUAGUGGCACAAAAUCCUUUGUAUUUUAUAAAGGUGUGAGAGCAUUUACUCUGACAGAGGAGUAAAGACCUGUGAACCUGAGUGUUUAGCUAUAAUCAGGUCAAUCCUCACAGUAACUGAGCCAGAGGUGGUAAGUUACUCUUUUUGGGAAAAUGCAGAGUUAGAAUGAGGAGUGCAAACAGACAAACAAAAUGAAAGAAAGGGAGAUGUAAUUGAAGCUGUGGGAUGUCUCAGUCACACUGUAUCCUCUAGACCACCACCACAUGCACCAGGUACCAGGACCAGACUUCUCAGGAUCCAUACCAUCUACACUUGCUCCAGCCUCCUCUCCCUCAUCAGAAGAGAAACAAGGUGAAAGUAAGGCUCAGUGUUCAUGCUUACCUUAUCCUCUGUCCUGAGGAAACCACCUGUGAAGUUGGAGUCCAUGACUACAAGCUUCUGUGUUUAUCUCCAUUGGUGAUCACCGCACCUGGAUAUUUGUCAUCAUUGAAAGCUCUAAAUGGUUCACCAUCUCUGGUAUAUACUGUUUUCUUGUGGGUUUAAUAAACAGUACUGAUUGCAGUUAACCUUUUUCCACUUGUGUUUUGAACAGCCA
rnacentral:lncRNA from 1 species